rnacentral:rRNA from 1 species
UGGGGAAUUUUGGACAAUGGGCGCAAGCCUGAUCCAGCAAUGCCGCGUGCAGGAUGAAGGCCUUCGGGUUGUAAACUGCUUUUGUACGGAACGAAAAAGCUCUCUCUAAUACAGGGGGUGAAUGACGGUACCGUAAGAAUAAGCACCGGCUAACUACGUGCCAGCAGCCGCGGUAAUACGUAGGGUGCAAGCGUUAAUCGGAAUUACUGGGCGUAAAGCGUGCGCAGGCGGUUUUGUAAGACAGAGGUGAAAUCCCCGGGCUUAACCUGGGAACUGCGUUUGUGACUGCAAGGCUGGAGUACGGCAGAGGGGGGUGGAAUUCCACGUGUAGCAGUGAAAUGCGUAGAGAUGCGGAGGAACACCGAUGGCGAAGGCAGCCCCCUGGGCCUGUACUGACGCUCAUGCACGAAAGCGUGGGGAGCAAACA